rnacentral:lncRNA from 1 species
GGGGCGUGAUCAUACUUCACGGUUUUGUAUAUGGUGCGAUGCUUCAAAAAUAACUCAAAAUAAUGUUUUGUUGAGCAGAUGACUAAUGAAUGGCUCCAUAUAACAUCUGACCUUGAAGAACUACCACAGUUCAAGACGAUCUGCUUGAAGACGCUGGUCUCUGUGAAAGUCAGUGCUGGCGCCCUUCGUCGUAUGGUAAUCGUCCUUGCUUGCAGAAAGGAGGGAUGGCGGCCAAACAGGACUGGAUUUGAUCUGCGUCCAGGUCUCUACUGA